rnacentral:SRP_RNA from 1 species
GCCGGGCGCGGUGGCGCGCGCCUGUAGUCCUAGCUACUCGGGAGGCUGAGGCAGGAGGAUCGCUUGAGUCCAGGAGUUCUGGGCUGCAGUGCGCUAUGCCGAUCGGGUGUCCGCACUAAGUUCAGCAUCAAUAUGGUGACCUCCCGGGAGCGGGGGACCACCAGGUUGCCUAAGGAGGGGUGAACCGGCCCAGGUCGGAAAGAGGUAAUUAUCUUUCAAAGCCCUGCACCCUAAAUUUCCUGUGUUUCCUGCCUGUUUUACCCCCCAAUGUACUGAAU